AAGUCAUCGCCAGCCUAGCAGCACACAAGAAAGAAAGAACCAAGGCAGCGAAAUUACAGUACAUAUUGCCAAAUGACUCCUUAAUUAGGAAUCUUCACUAACUGAACGGUAUUUCCAUCCUCGGAAUGGAGUUACACAUGUGGAACAUGCCUUGCUCUGCCCUAUGUGCACUUCGUUCAUAUGUGUG
rnacentral:lncRNA from 1 species